rnacentral:rRNA from 1 species
GGCAAGUCUGGUGCCAGCAGCCGCGGUAAUUCCAGCUCCAAUAGCGUAUAUUAAAGUUGUUGCAGUUAAAGCUCGUAGUUGGACCGGAGGUGGAGGAGGGAGCGUCGCAAGACGCAGCUCUCGUCCAUGAAAUUGGAGGAAGGUCUUGGAAACAAGAUCCGCGCCCUCAGGUUACUGUGAAGAAAUUAGAGUGUUUAAAGCAGGCUUACGCUUGAAUACAUCAGCAUGGAAUAACAAGAUAUGGAAGAUGGAAGAUCUUGUGGUUUAAUCCAUUUUAUGAUAAUAGGAUCAGUUGGGGCAUUAGUAUUCAAUAGUCAGAGGUGAAAUUCUUGGAUUUAUUGAAGACUAACGAGAGCGAAAGCAUUUGCCAAGGAUGAAUUCAUUAAUCAAGAACGAAA